rnacentral:rRNA from 1 species
AUGGACUUGCUGCCGUCACGAUGCCACGACGCUCUGCCUGGGGUCGCCGCCGCGCCGCUUGGGGUCGCCGGCGCACCGCCAUGGCGCGGCCUGGGGUCGCCGCCAUGGCGCUCCGCUUGGGGUCGCCGCCUUCUGCCAUGGCGCUCCGCCUGCGGUCGCCGCCACGCCACCAUUUGGCGACGCCUGGAGUCGUCGCCGCUGCGCCACCAUGGGGCGACGCCUGGAGUCGUCGCCGCCUGCCCUGGAGCCGCCGCCAUCUCCGGCAAACCUCUUCCCCUCCGUACGCAUCUUCGGGAGUCGCCUGUGGGAUAG